rnacentral:rRNA from 1 species
GAGUUUGAUCCUGGCUCAGAUUGAACGCUGGCGGCAGGCCUAACACAUGCAAGUCGAGCGGAAACGAGUUAUCUGAACCUUCGGGGAACGAUAACGGCGUCGAGCGGCGGACGGGUGAGUAAUGCCUAGGAAAUUGCCCUGAUGUGGGGGAUAACCAUUGGAAACGAUGGCUAAUACCGCAUGAUGCCUACGGGCCAAAGAGGGGGACCUUCGGGCCUCUCGCGUCAGGAUAUGCCUAGGUGGGAUUAGCUAGUUGGUGAGGUAAGGGCUCACCAAGGCGACGAUCCCUAGCUGGUCUGAGAGGAUGAUCAGCCACACUGGGACUGAGACACGGUCCAGACUCCUACGGGAGGCAGCAGUGGGGAAUAUUGCACAAUGGGCGCAAGCCUGAUGCAGCCAUGCCGCGUGUGUGAAGAAGGCCUUCGGGUUGUAAAGCACUUUCAGUCGUGAGGAAGGUAGUGUAGUUAAUAGCUGCAUUAUUUGACGUUAGCGACAGAAGAAGCACCGGCUAACUCCGUGCCAGCAGCCGCGGUAAUACGGAGGGUGCGAGCGUUAAUCGGAAUUACUGGGCGUAAAGCGCAUGCAGGUGGUUUGUUAAGUCAGAUGUGAAAGCCCGGGGCUCAACCUCGGAAUAGCAUUUGAAACUGGCAGACUAGAGUACUGUAGAGGGGGGUAGAAUUUCAGGUGUAGCGGUGAAAUGCGUAGAGAUCUGAAGGAAUACCGGUGGCGAAGGCGGCCCCCUGGACAGAUACUGACACUCAGAUGCGAAAGCGUGGGGAGCAAACAGGAUUAGAUACCCUGGUAGUCCACGCCGUAAACGAUGUCAACUAGCCGUUGGGACUCUUGAAGUCUUAGUGGCGCAGCUAACGCACUAAGUUGACCGCCUGGGGAGUACGGCCGCAAGGUUAAAACUCAAAUGAAUUGACGGGGGCCCGCACAAGCGGUGGAGCAUGUGGUUUAAUUCGACGCAACGCGAAGAACCUUACCUGGCCUUGACAUCCUGCGAACUUUCUAGAGAUAGAUUGGUGCCUUCGGGAACGCAGUGACAGGUGCUGCAUGGCCGUCGUCAGCUCGUGUCGUGAGAUGUUGGGUUAAGUCCCGUAACGAGCGCAACCCUUAUCCCUGGUUGCUAGCAGUUCGGCUGAGAACUCCAGGGAGACUGCCGGUGACAAACCGGAGGAAGGUGGGGAUGACGUCAAAUCAUCAUGCCCCUUAUGAUUUGGGCUACACACGUGCUACAAUGGACAAUACAAAGGGCAGCUAAACCGCGAGGUCAUGCAAAUCCCAUAAAGUUGUUCUCAGUUCGGAUUGUAGUCUGCAACUCGACUACAUGAAGCUGGAAUCGCUAGUAAUCGUGGAUCAGAAUGCCACGGUGAAUACGUUCCCGGGCCUUGUACACACCGCCCGUCACACCAUGGGAGUGGGCUGCAAAAGAAGUAGGUAGUUUAACCUUCGGGAGGACGCUUACCACUUUGUGGUUCAUGACUGGGGUGAAGUCGUAACAAGGUAACC